rnacentral:lncRNA from 1 species
GAAAGCUUGGAUCGAAUGAAAAGGCAGAGGAAAGGUGAAUUUUCUUUUUAUCCUGGAGCUGGACACCCUGUUUCUCCUGCCUGUGGACAUCAGAAUUCUAGGCUCUGUGGCAUUUCAACUGUAAAACUUGCACUAGUAGCCAGCUGGUUUCUCAAGUCAUUGGCUUCAAAACUGAGAAGUACAGCAUUCUCUUCCCAGGUUCUGAAGACCUCAAAUGGACUGAGCCACACUACCAGCAUCCAGCAUCCAUGGUUCUCCAGUCUGCAGAUGGCCUAUUAUGGGACUUUUCAGUCUUCAUAAUUAUAUGAGAGAAAGAAAAUGAAAAGGAUUUGUAAACUAUAAAUCUCUAAACAGAUGGGAGGAAAGGAAUUGAUGAAACAAUAAAUUUAUUGAUGAAACAAUAAAAAUAAACAUAAAGAAC